rnacentral:lncRNA from 1 species
AUGAGAUUGCUGAUAUAAAAAUUGUCUUGUGAAGGAAAAAGAACCACAAGGAGCGAGAAUAAUUUGAGAGAAAGUUAAAAGACAAACUUUUAUAGUGCCCACUUUUAAUGGUUAAUCAAUUCUUGGAAAAAGACGAAACUAGAAGGAUGUCAGGCGCUGCCGUUUAAGUUCAAAGCCAUGUUUUUGAGAGCUUUGCCUUGCUGAUCAAACCAAAAUGACAGUAAUUUUUUUCAAAUGGUCAAGAGAUAAUCUUUUGAGAGAAGAAAGAAGCCUCCUUUUUGAGACAAUCUUCAGUAUAGAUAUCCAAUCCAAAUUCUCAAACCUCCCGAGGCCCAACACCCCUCUCAAGUUCUCAAACAAACAAAUUGAGUCCCCACCAACCAAUAAUGUAAUCAUCUAACCAAUUAACCAACCAAAUCUCAGCAGCCCCUUCUCCCUAUCCUUCAAUCUUUGACCUCAAGUUCUCCAAAAACCAACAAACACAGAUCAUAUAUCAA